AUGGUGGAAUUGCCAAACCUUUGCCCAUGCCGAAAAAGAAGCCAAGUCCUUUUCAAUAAUUACCUUUCUUUUGUCUCUAUCUUUGGACUGAAUCAGAAUCAGAAGAAAAGCAAGGCUAUCCUUCGUUGCACACCUAAUGGAAAGCACUGGCUAGAUUUCCGAUGA
rnacentral:rRNA from 1 species